AGGGUUUGAUCAUGGCUCAGAUUGAACGCUGGCGGCAGGCCUAACACAUGCAAGUCGAGCGGAAACGACACUAACAAUCCUUCGGGUGCGUUAAUGGGCGUCGAGCGGCGGACGGGUGAGUAAUGCCUAGGAAAUUGCCUUGAUGUGGGGGAUAACCAUUGGAAACGAUGGCUAAUACCGCAUGAUGCCUACGGGCCAAAGAGGGGGACCUUCGGGCCUCUCGCGUCAAGAUAUGCCUAGGUGGGAUUAGCUAGUUGGUGAGGUAAUGGCUCACCAAGGCGACGAUCCCUAGCUGGUCUGAGAGGAUGAUCAGCCACACUGGAACUGAGACACGGUCCAGACUCCUACGGGAGGCAGCAGUGGGGAAUAUUGCACAAUGGGCGCAAGCCUGAUGCAGCCAUGCCGCGUGUAUGAAGAAGGCCUUCGGGUUGUAAAGUACUUUCAGUUGUGAGGAAGGGGGUAGUGUUAAUAGCGCUAUCUCUUGACGUUAGCAACAGAAGAAGCACCGGCUAACUCCGUGCCAGCCGCCGCGGUAAUAC
rnacentral:rRNA from 1 species